UACGGAGGGUGCAAGCGUUAUCCGGAUUCACUGGGUUUAAAGGGUGCGUAGGUGGGCAGGUAAGUCAGUGGUGAAAUCUCCGAGCUUAACUCGGAACUGCCGUUGAUACUAUUUGUCUUGAAUAUUGUGGAGGUAAGCGGAAUAUGUCAUGUAGCGGUGAAAUGCUUAGAUAUGACAUAGAACACCAAUUGCGAAGGCAGCUUACUACACAACGAUUGACGCUGAGGCACGAAAGCGUGGGGGAGUCAAACAGGA
rnacentral:rRNA from 1 species